rnacentral:lncRNA from 1 species
UGGCAUGCCGCCCACACCCACCCUCUGUGUCUUGUUCGUCCACUCUGCGCUGGCCCCAAGGAGGGUGGGCUGGAGGACACCCGCAGAGACAGCAAGGGCCGGGGCUGGCCAGAUCUCAGAGUGGGCCGGCCUUGGUGCUGUUGCUGUGUCCUUGAACGAGAAAGCCCCACUUGCUUAGAUGUCUGCCGCCAGGGCAGCACCUGGUGGGGCCAUCCACUGGGGACUUUGAGUGCCCGGCCAGGUCGUGGGGGCGGCGGUAGCGUCCCUGGGGCCUCUGAGCUGGCUGUGCCACCUGUGAGGCUCCAUCACGGAGGGGAGGACCUGCAGGGUGGUAGAGUCCUGAGGGUCCCCCGGGCAGAAAAGAGGGGUGAGGCUGGCUCCCGGUCACUCUGGACGGGAGCCUCCAGAGCCUGUCCACCUGGGGGGACAGGGAGACAGUGCAGCCUGGAGGCAAAGGCCCUGAGGGGGCUGCCAGGCUGGGCCUGGGACUCUGAACCAGCUGUCCCUCUAGGUGGCUUUUCCCAGCCAUGCCCCCAGCUCUCCCAGCCUUUGGACUGCAGACCACAGCAGGGCUGGGGCGUUAGGAGUCGGGGUGGGUGGAAUAUCCCUGCCCCGACCUCACCCACGCCCCAGGAGAGGGCAGAUGGGGGUUUCUGGGACGGUUGCCUGGACCUCUGCAGAGCUGCUGGGAGGGGCACCCUCAGGUCAGCCGGCCCUGAGCUCAGCGUCCAAGGCUGGCUUAUACCCCAGGAGUGGACUGUGGCCUGGUGCCUGGGCCUUGUAGCCAGCGGGGGUCAUUUGCCACCCAUGGACCCACGGUGGCCUGCGCCUGUUCCUAGGCACUGGUGUUUACCCCAAACGAAGGUGGAGUGUGCUCAGCCCAGCUGACGCUGGCACUGGGCAAGGAGGGGGCAGAGUGUCUAGGCCCCCGCCACCGCAGGCAGGACGCAGCUGGGGGUGGAUCUGGCUCACAGGGAGAGAGGCUGCAGGGAGGCCAUCAGCCCGCCACCCGGUCUUGCUGCAAACUCCUUUCCUGGGACCUCAGGUCCCCCCACCCUCCACCAGGCUGCCCCACCUACGUGGCAAAGGUGACCGUGGGCAUGAACUGCACAGAGAACCUCGUGUGCCGGGAGGCCGUGUCCCGAGGUGAGGGCAGAGUAAGGAUGGGGUCUCUGGGGGGGCCCAGUGACCCCCAAACCCAGGCCAUCAGUCACGGUGACUCAGAUGCUCAAGGCUGAGCCCACCACCUCUCCCCCCCGCACCCUGGUCAGCAUCAGCUCCCUCCCCUCCAGCAGCCCCCCUGGGGUCCCUUGCUUGCUGGCCCACCUGCCCUGUUCACUCCCAGCUGGCUCCGUCCUGAGCCGCCUGUGGCCUGGCACUGCACCACCCCUGCUUGUGGGGCCCCCUCCUUGGUCCCCAGCCCCCCCUCCCCCAUGUCCCC